rnacentral:rRNA from 1 species
UACGUAGGGUGCAAGCGUUAUCCGGAAUUAUUGGGCGUAAAGAGCUCGUAGGCGGUUUGUCGCGUCUGCUGUGAAAACUGGAGGCUCAACCUCCAGCCUGCAGUGGGUACGGGCAGACUAGAGUGCGGUAGGGGAGAUUGGAAUUCCUGGUGUAGCGGUGGAAUGCGCAGAUAUCAGGAGGAACACCGAUGGCGAAGGCGGCCCGCUGGGCAGUGGCUGACGCUGAAGCGCGACAGCGUGGGGAGCAAACAGG